UUGUAUUUUUGGUAAGUUGAUGCUUGUUGCCCUAAAUAGUGUGGGCCAAGGCCCAAGGUUGGAGAUGAUUACAUUAUUAAUGUUUUAUCCACGUGGCAGCAGAGCAGGGCAGCUAUGGAUGAAACUGAAUUUCGAAGCCUUCUGGACUGUUGUUCGAUCUCGCGAUUAUCAAGUAAAUCAAUCUAUAAAAUUUCUAUUUAUUAUGAUCAACAACUAUUUAUUCCCUUUUUUUCGCAUAAAGUUUAUCCUUUCCUUGCUUCCGCACUCGUCUGAUCCUUCAGUAAAUUGUGAAAUUUUUGCUUUUGGGAUUUUUUUCCUUUGCUGCUGCUUGUGUUUGUCGAGCUUUUGAAAUUGCCUUCUUUAAUUUCAGGCAGAGUUGGAUUCUUCAAGCCAGGAUGAGAGACUAAAUGAGUGGCAAGAUGCUUCGAAUGAAGAAGAUAAAAUGCAGAUGGAGAGUCCAGAUGUGUUGCUUCAACCUAAUUAUUUGAAGACAUUAUACUUCUGUAGAUUCUCUGCCCAAUCACCUGUUAGCGUGGCACCAAAAUCCACCAACUUCUUUUAUUAAUGAGACCCAGCUGCCUCCGGUGUAUAGAUUGCUGAGUGUGCAUCAGCCUGCUAGAUUUUCCGGCACAAGUGGCAGACAGUGACUCAAUGCUGUAGAAACUAUCAUGUCCCUAUUCACAAUGAUGGAUGCUGAGAAGGUUAAGUGUGCUAGCUACCUUCUCAAGAGAGAUGCCAGAGUGUGGUGGAGGACGACCACAGAGAGAGAAGAUGGGGCUGGUGUGAGCUGGAUGAUUUCAAAUGACUAUUUGAUGCAGAGUCUAAGAUUGCAGAUAUGACAUAUAUGAAAGUUUGUGAGUUUAUUGAUCUGCAACAGGGCUCUAGCACUGUAUAUGAGUAUGCAACCAAACUAAAAGCUCUGGCAAGAUACACUCGGUGCAUGGCUAGUACAACGCAAGGAAAAAUGAAGAAAUUCAUCCUUGGGUUGAAUCCAAAGAUAGCUAGAGAUGUGAUGAGAGGGGCACAAUCUCCUCAGACAUAUAGUGAGGCAUUAAACAGAGCUUUCAAAUCGGAGGUGUGAACAGGAUCAAACAUGAGGUUAAGUGCAACAGUUACACCAGAAGGUUCCAGGCAAAGCUCUGAGCAGAUGACAGAGAGAGCUGACAAGGGGAAGAGGAGAUUCCAGUGUAAGAAUAUGAAGAAUUGGAAGAGUAACAAGAAGCAUAAGAAAGUUGAUAUACCCACUUGUCAGUCAGAAACAUGAGAAGCAACACCAAGGAGAAUGCCUGAUAAGAGUAUGUUUUAAGUAUAGACAACCAGAUCACAUUGCCAGAAAUUGCCCAGCAACCGACCAAAGCAGAGUAGACAAUUUGUAAAUCAAUAACAUGAAAAAUCUGUAAUGUAUACUUUUUUUUUCACACAAUCGAAUUAUAAUCAUAGAGUAAUUCUUUGAAAAUA